CGGAAACCAGUAUCAUUCAUAAAUUAUUCAAAUUCUACGUGUGAGUAAGUGAAACGAGUCGUGGGUGUCUGCGAGACACGUAAUCACGGAUUGCGACCCCGAAUGGCAGGUUGAUUUCGCUCCAAGGCGGUUCGCAAGAAUCCCAAGCAUUUUUCCCACCCACGCUACCAUACGAAAAUGGCCGCAUUCGGCAUUCUGAAGUGAGAACUUUUGGCGCAUUAAUGGAAGCUUAAGUCAUCUGAAGUGGGCACCACUCGAGCACACAAAGCAGGGGAUGCCAAACAACAAUAGGCAUGAACAGGCGGAGGCUGUCAUGCGAAGAUGAAAUGCUCUGGAAAGUGGCAGAAGUGGAUCUAAAAGACUGGAGCUUCUAAGCCUUGCAAGGCAGAUGUGUAAAUGUUGCAGUUGGCUUUUUAUAAUAAUACGACUUUUUAUAAUAAAACAAUAAAUUGCUUUUAAUAUUGUAGUUCAAUAAUUAAACAUUUUUAGUAUCAUCAUAUAGACCUGCAUUUAUAUACUUCGAAGGUUAUCUCUUGCUAACCAGAAAAUCUCCUUGUAAAUAUUAUUUGAACAAACUAAAUUAUUUUACAUACGUAUAUAAGUACUUAACAAUUUAAAAUUUUUUUCAAUAGGGCUAACAAAAAUUAUAUGAGUAUUUGUGACCAUCUUUUCUAAUACAGCAGCUUUUAACACUUAAAUAAAAUAAAACGAAGUUCAAAACUUUUCUCUUUUAUAAAGGGGAAUGCUUUUCUAAAAAGUAAUACUUGUAGGUCUGUAUAAGAAUGAAUUCGAACCGUAAAUUAUAGCUUUAUAUAUAAAUAUUUCAAUCAACACGUCAUAUAAAUUUAUUUCUCAGCUCUGAAGCUUAAUUUAAACAAUAAAUUCUGACAACCUUGAAAUUUCAAAGCUAAAUAUUAUAUUUAUAUAAGUGCUUAGUAUGUGAAAAAUAAUAUUUUAUUAACAUCAUGUAAUCGCGAUCCCUUUAAUAUAUAAUACCCUUUGGCAGAGAAUCCUCAAAAAUUGCUGGCAUUGAUUUUCAGAACUGGCACACACGCAAAAACAAGAAAAAAGCCAGAGGCAAAAAGUCAAAAAUUCAAUGUCAAACAGGUUUUCACUUUCGGCGUGUCCUUAAACUCCUUUUUUGUCUGGGCCGGAACACAAGGUGCACACACAUGCACGAGAAUAUAUAUCGAUAACCUUGGGGAGAGAGAUAGUCUGAGAUGAUGCAAAAAUUCGAAAAGGAUGACAUGACAGACCGACGAUGAUGUCAUAAGGCGGAGCUUUUGACGGCAACUGCAUUAAACGUCAACUAGCGUGUUGACUGGCUUAAGUAAUCAAAUCAAGGCGAGCUAAAAAAAUCACCUUUGAAUGGGAUUCGUUGGGGAUGCUACGCCAUAUGGUCAACAGAAUAUAGCUAAUAAAGACACACAAAACACAAAUAAUAAAGCCUCACGUCAGCCAAAUA